CACCCGGUCCCAUACCGAACCCGGUAGUUAAGCCUUCCAGCGCCGAUGGUACUGCACGAGGGAUCGUGUGGGAGAGUAGGACGCCGCCGGAA
rnacentral:rRNA from 1 species